GAAGUCGUAUGUUAAUAGAGAUUAGAGAGGCUCAGGAGAGAUCAGAUCGGAUCGGAUGGUAGGGUGGUUCUGUUGAACGAGGAUGAGGAAUAUAUAGAACUCCACCCGGCCCAAAAUCCCUUCUCUUCGCUUUUCUCCGACUCCUCGAGCAUGGACGAACUCGACAAGAUGGAGCUUCACAUGCCAGGGCCUUCAAAAUCAGCAACUGAAGCUGAUCGAGCACCACCACCAUCGUCAAGGUUGAGAAGCUGGCAAUGGUGGCUCAUAGUGGCCCUUAACAUCUUCUUCCUUCUUGCUGGUCAAACUGCUGCCACUCUUCUGGGGAGGUUUUAUUAUGACCAAGGCGGCAACAGCAAGUGGAUGGCCACACUUGUCCAAACUGCAGGCUUUCCGAUCCUCUAUCUUCCUCUACUCCUUUUUCCUUCUACCCACCCUCCCCCCGCUACUGCUAUCAUCCCUCACCCUUCACAUGCUAAGAUUGCCGUAGUAUAUGUUAUUCUGGGCCUUAUCAUAGCUGCUGACAACUUAAUGUAUUCCUAUGGUCUCCUGUACCUUCCUGUGUCAACAUACUCCCUCGUUUGUGCCACUCAACUUGCCUUCAAUGCUGUCUUCUCCUACUAUCUGAAUUCUCAAAAAUUCACUGCUUUUAUAAUGAAUUCUGUUGUUCUCUUGACAUUCUCUGCUGCCCUACUUGGUUUUAAUGAAAAUUCAGAGAGCUCGGCAGAUGUUUCCAAGGGGAAGUAUGCAAUCGGUUUCAUAUUGACAUUAGGAGCAUCAGCCACAUACUCGCUCAUCCUCUCUCUAAUGCAGCUCACCUUUCAAAAGGUUAUUCGGAAGGAGACUUUCUCAGCUGUGCUGGAAAUGCAGAUUUACACAGCAUUUGUAGCCUCUUGUGCUGCUGUUGUUGGCUUAUUGGCAAGUGGGGAGUGGAAGGAUCUGAAGAGUGAGAUGGAGGCAUAUGGAAAGGGGACAGUGUCAUAUGUGAUGACUCUGGUUUGGACUGGUCUGUCCUGGCAGGUAGCCUCAGUCGGAGUUGUGGGCCUCAUCUUUGUGGUGUCUUCUCUGUUCUCCAACGUGAUAAGCACGUUAGCACUGCCUGUUGUGCCCGUAUUUGCUGUGAUCUUCUUUCAUGACAAGAUGAAUGGUGUCAAGAUUGUUGCUAUGCUAAUUGCAAUUUGGGGUUUUGCUUCUUACCUCUACCAGCACUAUCUUGAUGACUCGAAAGCUAAGAAGACUGUAGGUCAUCCCGAGUAUGUCCCUGCUCAUGGGUCUUGACAGUUGUUGCUCAGGGUUUAAUCUGAAUAACUUGAAGGCUUGGACCUUAGUAUAGCUAGAGCUGUAUCGUAUGAUGGGCUUCAUCUAAAUAUUUCUCUCUAAAAGCGUGUAAAAAUACGACAAGUGGAGGGCGUAAAGCCGUCAACGGAACAUGUCGUGUUCCGCCAGCCUUCCCGACCGGUCGGGGAACAGCAACGGCCCUCCGGUCGUCGCCCGCCGGUGGUGGUACGGGCCAAGCGCC